AUUUUUUAACUUCUAUGAUGGCAGUUCUCAGCGGUUAUUGGAUGGUUUCUUGGCCAUCCCCACUCUCCCGUGAUUCCAGGGUAUCAUCACAUCAGUUACUCCUCACCCAUAAAACCCCCUCUAUGUUCGAUCGCCAUUCCAAGUUCAGAUAAAUCCUCGAUUCCAUCAGCCACUGAUUGUGUCCUCUGUUUCCGUUUGAGUCUAGCUCCACCGUUGUAGCACCACCGUCUGCCACCGUCUGCCUAGCAAUGGCCGGAGCCGAAGGAGAGAUUCCGCUGUACGUUAACAAGACUGGCGCGUACGAACGGUUUUACAAAACGGUGGAAGUCAUUUUCUUCUCCAAUGGCUAAUCAGGUCGCUGCUUCCUCAUAUAUCCGAUCGAAGAAGAAAGAUGUCUCCAUCGAUUCUGGGAAAUUGUUCUUGGCUGGGAAAUUUAUGAAUUGUGAAGUUUAGGUUCUUGAACGAUUCAUGCAGGCGAGCCCAUGCCAUCUUUUGGAACAUGCUUGUGUAAUUAUUCAUACACAAUAACAAAAUUAGUUCUUACCCAACUUGUAGUUUGUUGUUUUUGUUACAAUUUUAUAAAAGUGUCCAAAGAAGAACAUGUACAUAAGAGUUUUGAUAGUUUUUUGUUUAUUAUCUUGUACCGUAAUUUAUGGUGAUUUUUUAGCUAUUCAGCUGCAGUAGGUUUGAGUAUUAUGCAAUAAUGUAUGUUUAGCUCUUUAAGUGGUUUUAGAGAAUUAUAGCAAAUGCUAUGUCAGUUGAAGUUCUUUACUUUCAGCUAGAGCAUCCAUUAUACAACAAUUAUAUCUAACUUCAUUAACGGUGUAUUUGAUAAACUGAUGGAAGAACCAAAGAGAUAGGAAAUCAUGCUAAUCAAGUUGACGAGAUGCAGACUAAGAAUAUUGAUGAAUUUAAGACGGCAUUUGAGUUGCCGCCUCUCCAUUGGUCUUGGAUGGGGUUGAUUUCAAGCUGAUAUCAGUCAAAAUGGCAAUGAACUAAAGGUGCAGCUUCUAUUUACAUCCAUGUGAAGGUUCGGCUGCACAGAUCUUGACACAAGGGAAGCUGAGUGCACCUCGUAUUUUAAGAAUACACAAGGUAUUGUAUUGUAAGAAUCACCUCAAUUUGUGUCAUUACGAUCCUGUAUAAUACUUAAUUCCCUUAAAGCCCAUCAAACAUCUUUAUAAUUAUCAUCAAUGUAGACUAUUAAGAGAUCUUAAGUUGUUUAGACUACAAAGAAAUAGUGAUGCAUUAGUCUUGACAACAAACAUACUCCUAUUGCAAUAAUACUCAGAAUCUUUGAAUAAAAGUGGUUUAGGAGGGUGUAUGCAUUUAAUAUACACUUUGGGUGAUCUUCAACCCCUUUUCGUUGGCCGUUAAAAAAAAGAACAACGCAGUCAAAUCCGUGAGCAUCUAAUUAUUGUAGCUUGCAGCGUAUGUUAAUUUUUCUAUCACGUUUAAUAUUGUAGCUUGCAACGUAUGUUAAUUUUUCCAUCACGUUCAAUAUUGUAGCUUGUAGCGUAUGUUAAUUUUUCCAUCACGUUUAAAAGUUUUUAAUUUAUUGUUGGGUGAAUUAGUGACAAUAGUUGUUUCAAUAUUUUAUCUUUUAUUUAAUUAAGUGAAAAUCAUAAAACGGCUAUAUACCAAGUUAUAUGGAGAAAAUGCUCCAAGGGUUAGAAUGGACGUGUGCCCUCUAGCUUACGCAAAGUGCACAAAAGGUAAG
rnacentral:lncRNA from 1 species